UUCUUCUGCAUUUCCUUCCCCUUUUCCCUAAUCCACUCUCCAUCCAACUAAUUAAACACAUAUCUUCUCAUCCCAAAAGUAGCUUCAGUUAGGUUUAAUGAAUAUUAGUUCACUAAAAUACCCACCCAUUCCAAAAGUAGCAGAACCGGGGACUGGGUAGCGAAAAACUGAAGGCGAAGGAGAGAGGGCCGGCGAAGACGAAUGAGAAGAGAAAUAUCGAAGAUGGACGAUCUAAAAUUUGGGUUCUACAAAUUGAUGUUGUUUGAGAAUGAAAAUCGGUAUUGUUAGAUGAAAGAGGGUGUUUAUCUAGUGGAGAUUUGGUGGUUUUUCGCAACUAUUGUUGCUGCUAUUUUGCUGUUUUUUUCGGCUAGCUCAGGAUUUGUUUUGGCGUGACGGAUAUAGGCGAAGCUCUGGAGGUUAUGGGCAGUAAGUUUUUUGAUGAAAGACGAUAUUUCUUUUAGUGAUUUAAGGUGGCUUAGUUGGAGCUUUAGUGACUGAUUUUCAUGGAAGCUAUGGUGGUUUGCACUUGAAAGAAGAAGAGAGGCUAAGCUGAGUAUUUCAUGUUUUUUCUUUUUAAAAAAAAACUUAGGCUGCAAAAAAAUGUAUCACGCGCUCAAAAUUUGGUUAGCAAUCACGCAUAUGCCACAUCAGCGACAUGUGUUUACUUGAUCUGAGUUAUAGUCACUUGAAGUGUCUAAAUGAUAAAGGGGUUCGUUAAGGGUUCAGCUGGUUGUUGAGGACAACUUCAAGGGGUCGUUUAUGUAUUUCGUCUAAUGAAUAGUGAAUCUAAUAGAAUGAAAUCCCCUAUUAUUUGCA